AGAGCUGGCGGAAGGGCCGGGCCGGGCCGGGCCGGGCGGCCAGGGGGCGCCCCGCGGUCCUUCAUGGCGGGAGGCCCCGCGAGGCAGGAGCCGGCGCCCGGGGGCCGGAGGAGACCGCGGGGUCUCACGGCGGCCCACAGGCGCCGCUGGGCGAAGGUGGAGAGCAGGCCGGGCAGGGAGCCCCCGCCCGCCGGGACCCCGGUAGGACCAGAGAAAAAGAUCCAGUGUCAGUCUUUCUACGUCUUGUAAUUCGGAGGCUGUGAGAAAUGGCUUCAGCUGUCUUCUGCCUGAUUCUGCCCCUGCUGCUGCAAGCCCUCCGUGCUCUUCACCAUUGCCUGUGUGGGAAGGUUGGCUGGAGAUCCUGUGCAGAACUUGGCUUUGCCCAAAGCUCUGGGGAGACUUGUGGGAAGUAACUGGAGAGCAGUGCAUGUGGCUUGGAAACUUGCAGGAAGAUCCAGUUUCCCUGAGUUCGCACUGCCAAAGCCAGGAUUUAGACAUGCAACAUCAAAACAGCUCUAACAAAAUGCUAGACUAAUCCAGGAAAGCAGAAGAAAACUCAGAUAAACAGAUACCCCACCCCCAAAGGUGCCUCACUGCUACUCACCUGACAUAUUAGUUCUCUAUUUAUGGACUCCCCUUCACCACCAGCAUGCCUUUGUAUUACGGCCACCAGAGAUCUCAUUGCAUCUUCUGUGACUGAGCAUCCUGAUCUGAAGCCAUGAGGUUCCAGUGUCUAUGGCCUUCGUCACACGCACCUCAGAGACAACACCAGUGCCUGGAAGUGAGAUGUUGAAGCCAAUAUAUGCAAUGGCAGUAUGUCAAGCCCUCUCCUACCUUCCAGCAUAGGGUCUGCUGUUACCGCCUUCAAAGCCUCUUGAAGCUAAGCUCUUCUCUGGACGCAGAAGAAAGGCAGCACUUCAGGGCACAGCUGGUUCUGCCCGGUCGCCUGCUACCCCAUGCACCAAGAAGGCUGUUGCGAUGAUGCUGAAAGACUCCUGCUAAGCUCCUGAGCUAUCUCACUGUCUGUGAGAUGACUGCAAAGUGAUGACAGCAGAGCCCUACCACGGCUACAUUGAACGGCUGGUGAAUACUGACAAGCUUAGUUUGCUCUGCUAUUGGCAUCCAGUGGCAUCCAAGGAACAUUACUUUAGGCUUGAUUUGUAAAUGUCUGAAUUUUGGUACAAGUCCUGCCUUGUGGACUCCCCAGAAGGACUCAGGCUCAGACACUGUGGUCCUUUACCUCCUGCUGCUGUAACUGUGAGAAGCUGGAACAGAGUGUCUGACUAGGGCUCUUUCUCUCGUUUUCCACCUGUGAAAGAGGGUCCUGAACCUGAAGACAAUCCUCAAAGUAUUGAGGAUCCAGGGGAAGCCACUGACUUCAGAGGGCAGGAAAGCAAAUCUGACAAGAAAAGCUGUAUUCAGAACUAAGCUAAAGAGGAAAUGGACAGCAAAGGCAGCUGUAGAGCAGCAGGCCCUUGCAGAACUGUUCUCUCAUCUCUGAUUAAAUUCCCAGGUUCUAGCCCAUCCUCUGCUGAAUCACUGAUGCUUGUAUGCAUGGAGAGAGCUCUGAGAACUGGACCUGAAUCCUGUGGCUUGGACCAUCCCUCCUGUCACUGAUGGCAUGAUCUGGACCUUCCUGUUUACUUCAGCUGGAUCUAGCUCCCUCAGAACAGGCCAACAUUCUUGCAGUGCAGUGUAUCUGUCCUCUCUCCCUUCAUUGAGACUGCCCAGACAUUAGUGUAUCUGCUGCAAUCCUUCCUCUGCUGCCCAGCAAUGCACCUGAAGUCACUCAGUGAAGUGUGAGUCCCUUGUACGAUGAAGCAGUGACUGGUCCAGGAGUGGUCCCAAGUGGCACCUUGGUUUAGCAGUCAAGCCAUCCACAGCCCACAAUGCAAAAUGCACUCUCCUGUGUCCUCCAUCAUGUGGGGCAAUCUCCCCUGUAUGACCUGGCUUAGAGGAUACUGAUUUUUCAGUUAACAGUGUGGUAGAAUUGCAAAGGAAGUGCCAGGGUAUGCACACUUUUGAACAGCACAAGGAAACUAGAUGACAAGAAAGCAAGCAACACACUGCAAUGAGUGUCUCUCAGAGUCCUGGCUGAGCUGAAAGGCCAGGGCCUGGCCUGGUUCACUCAUUUCCAGGUCUGGAAUGUCUUCUUUAGCUUAGAGAAUGUUCCUCCUUUGAAAUCGCUUCUGCCCCUGAGCUUUCACAGAAUAAUUUCCCAGCUCCAGGCCCCAAUUUCAGCAUCAAGGCAGAUUCACCAGAAGGCCCUGGAUUUGCUGGUAGCAGCCACUCCUCCCCAAAAGUGCUCAAUGACUCUGUCACAGCUCUCAGACAGAAUAUCCCCAGCAGGUUUCAAGUUCUUGUUACAAAAUGUAUGCUUGAAAUCACACAAAAGGUUAUGAUCAUAAUGGCAUUCACAGAUCCAAACUGAAAUUUGUAAGCUGACAGGGACAUAUCUCCAAGGCUGUCAGGAUGUACUACCCCCCAGGAGAGGUGACACUUUACACUGACCCAGCUGAUCUGAAAUGUACAAGAAAGGGUGGGCUGGCCCCAAGGGAACUGUGUCUUUUGGAGUCUGGCACUUCCUGCUUCAAUAGCUUUCCCUGAAGUGUAGCCUUCUGCGCAUCACUCUAUCUAACAGGGACAGAAACUCAUAUCCUUGUCCUGGGGUGCUCCCAGAGGUGCUGGAGUACCUAGUGAGGAAGUUAUUUCACUGAUGGUAUCCAUCCAUCUACCUCCAGUCACUGUGAUUCACAGACCUCCCGGGCUUUUCGGACUGCAUCUGCAGAUGGAACAUGAUUUGGCAACAGCAAUUAGAAGCACAUCUGGGAGAUGAGCGGAGUGCAGAAUGAGACAAAAGCACCAAAGCAAUUUCCCAAUAUUUCAAGAAUGUCUGUGUACUGAAGGUUCACACUGUAAGAACACUGUUGACCCUUUGUUGGGUGGCUCGUGGGAGUAUUAUGAGGUUAGACCUAGGGCCUGUAUUUCUCUGUGUCAGGCUGUAAGAGUACCCACUGCUGUAACAACUGAGGGCUAUUUGUUACUGUAUCAUGAGCUACAGAAAAAAAUGUGAUAAAUGUGCAUCACAUGCUAAACACAUAUAGGUGCUCCGUCUGGCUCUUGGAGGGCCUGAGCUGUCAUGACUCCAGAAGAGAGGCAGCUGGUUACACACACAGACUGGAGUUUAAAUUUAAUUCAGGCUAUAAGCAUACAGAUGAAAGACAGGCAGAAAGCCACCUGGCCCAUGUUCAAAAAUUGGGAGGAGUGGUACACUGCAGAAAACAUGAAUGUAUUUCACCUGUAGCAUGUGGAAUAACAUCCAUGACAACACCAGGUUCAACCAGACACCUCCAUAGAGAAAAGUAGGUCUUACCAAAACCUGUUCAAAGAGUGAGACUCAUGGCAAUGGCCUCUAACAUAUAUAUUUCAUACAGCCCUGGCUAGUGAGGGAACUGUAACACACUCCAGAAGGUCAUGGUCAUGUCUGUCUUGUAUCCAGCAAAAGUGUUUGCAUGAUGUUCAUAAUACAUUAGCUAGCUUAAGUAAGUGACUUUCAGAUGUGCUUAAUAUGGGCUACUUUUGCUCUCAGUAAAGUCAAUAGCAAAAUUCCAGUCUGUUGUAUGAUAAGAGAAUAGUUCGGGCCAUGCUGAACUCUUUCAUUCCCAUCCUCCUCUUAAACUAUUAAAUUACUUAAAAUCAGGAAAAGACUCUGCUACAUCUACAUACAGCCUGUGAGGCCCACUCUUCUAGACAACCUUCCUCUAAGAAAUUAGAUGAGAAAGUUAUACUGAAAACUCUUAUUACUGCUUGGAUAUGACUUUAUCAAGUAAAAUCUCUGAAACGUAUUUGACAAUCAGACAGUUUCCUGUCCCUGAAAGUCAAAAUUUUCUUAGCAAUAAUUUGGGCCUGACUUUUGGAGCUAUCAAGCAUUUGCAAGCCCAAGGAAAAACUCAGCUGUUCAGCACUCUAUUAAUCCACUGCUUUUUUCUCCCCUUCCAAAAAUGAAAAAAAAAAUUCAAGGGAGUUAGUAACAAUAUAAUUUUUCAACAUAAAAUGUGGAUUAGAGUUCAGAAAGAAAACGGAAAGGAGAGGGAGCAAAAGGUUAUUUAAAUUUGUGUCAUGUGUCAUUUUUCUCUCACUAUUAAAUUUGAUGGGAAACAAAGUCCACUAUAAUCUGAAGUGAUUGUUAUGGUGGAAACAUUUAUAAGGUACAAUGAAUAUAAAUGGCUCCCUUUUUCUUGCAUGAAGCAGAGGAAAAUAUGGUUAAAAGUAGUUUCUUAGAGGCUUUGACAAUAAACCUACUAUUAAAGACCCACUGAGCCCAAACAAGCACGGCUUCUAGUAUGCAAGGAAGGGCCAUUGCUUUUGCUGUCCAGAACUAAAGAGGAUUCCUUAUGCAAUGUUGCCAUUAAAAUCACUUACUAAGUGAUUUUAAUCAUAUAUCAAAUGAUAGCACUAUUAUGUCUUUGAAAGAGCUAACAGAGUUAAGGUUAAUGGGCUAUCUGCUUUCAUUGGAGCCUGAACCAAGCUGUAGAGUUCAGACCUUAGUACUGGCUAUUUCGCAGACAGGUGAGAAGUUUGGGCUCUUUAAUCUUGGCAUCUUGGAUGUGGAGGUGAGGUUGUUGCUCUGGGAGACACUCUCAGAAAAAUGUGGCUCACGAUCAUUGUCCUCAUUCCUCCAGAUUGAUGUCUGGAUUGAAGGACCAAACCCUCGUUCAAAACCUUUUUGCUCCAAGAACAUAGGCUCUUCCUUUCAACCUAAAACAGAGCAGCUGUCAGCACCAGCUGUUCCUCUGGCACUGGAGUCCUUCCAUUCAGUUGGGCACAGCAAAAAAGGCCACGAUCAGCCUCCUUCCCCAGCUUCUCAAAGCUGAACUCCUCAUGUAUCAAUAAGAAGUGAUGUAUCUGGAUGAAAGAAAUAUAUUUCUUCAACACUUCAUUGCUUCCCAUUAUCACCAGACAUUAAUUUUGGCUGCUUACAGAGUGCGGUGCCAUAAACAAACCCAGGAACGCAGGGUGCACAGAGUUGCUGUACUCACUAACGGCUGUAGGCUUCCUGCUAUCCUGGGUAUGGCAUGUUCUGCCUUGCUUUUCACUUUCCCCAGAAUCCCAAACCUACUAUUUCCAGCUCUUUCUACUUAUAGGAAGGAGACUUUUAGUCCAGAAUCUGUAAUGAGUUCUUAGGAAGAGCACAGAUGCAAACCCUGCUAGCAAAGGAGACUGAACACCUGACAGUGAGGACUUGGAAGAGGAUCUUGGGGAGUCUCCAAAAACAAGGACCUGAACAGCUGUGAAAUGGGGGACAGGGACAGAUGACCUAAGCAACCUGUCUCUGCCUCUGCUUUCAGGAGCUGUCACCACUUGAAAGUGGCACCAGCAUUAUGCUUUGAGCUGGGCAGAGAAAACAAAAGCACAUUAAUCGAGAAUAAUCUUCUCUCGAUUUCCCAAACCACUGGCUAUCACUGCAUCGACUUAAUUAACUGUUAACAUCUAUGUAAUUAAGCAGUAACACAAAUGAUUCCCUCUUGGUGCUGAUGAAAAUAAUGAAUAACAAUCAUGGCUGCUUUGUUUCACAGCACUAAUCUGUUUUGAAAUAUACAUUGAUUUUAUUUUGAUUAGGACUAAACCUAGUUUCCACUCUGCAAAUAAACCUCUCUGAUUUGAGCAAAUUGCUGUUGGCAUUUACAUUAUGAUAAUCAGCUCAGAAUCCAUCUGAUCAGCUGCUUUCUUACUGUGUGUCAUUUCCUUACUUCUUAGUCCACUAUAAUUAUGAUGUUGUACUUUGGAAUAUUUAAUUAUGGCCUCCUUUCUUCUUUGCUUUAUGAUUCACAUUUUCCUUAUCACCAUCAUUAUCCAUGAACUACUCAGUAGCUCUGCAGCCACCACGCUGGCUCAUGCAGGUUUGUUCUCAAAUGCUGAUUUCACACUUGUGCAGCUGACAAUGCUUCAGACAACCCGGUGGGCUGCCUUCCCCAAGGAAACCUCACAUCUCAGUUACAAAGCUCUGGCAAGAAUGGACAUUUGUAAAGAUCUCACCCCCCCAAAAAAGCAAAAAUCACAUGUUCAUUUUGUAUGGAUUCCUAGUGUGUCCUUGACCUCUUUGGAAAAUCCCAGCUAGUCAGCGGGAGACAAGUACAAAAUUGCCUCAAAAAUACCUUGCAAUGAUUUCUCUUGAGCUGUUCCUGCCUCUGACCCAGCCUCCCUCAGCUUCCCCAGCCACCCCAUGCUCAGCCCUCCCCAUGCCGCAGAGGGGAUGGCCCUGGCUGUCCCAG